rnacentral:lncRNA from 1 species
UUGGUCUAGACAUAAUUUAAAUAAGCAAUGAUGCAUUAAUUUCUAUGAAAUCCUCUAAUUAAAAUAUGCUACAUCCAAAGCGUACUAAAAUUACUGCAUGCAUAAGAACCUUAAUCUAAUUCAAACAAAAGAUAUACAAAUCAAGAAGUAUUGAUAUAGAAAUACUUGAUCCGUACCAUCUAUACCCAUCAGAUCAAUUAGAAGAUGGCCAAUAAUCUAGAAGCA